AUAUUUUGGACUCAAAUCCCAACUUAAACUUUGGAACCUGGACCCAAACUCAAACUUGAACCUUGACUUAAACCCUAGACCUAGAUCCCAACCCGAAUCUCAGACCCCGAUCUCGAUUUCGACUCAGACCUCAAACCUUAAACUUGGACCACGGAUCCGACUCUUGCCCCUAGACCCUUGUCCCAGACCUAAACCCUAGACUCGACCCUGUCCUCAGACCCGAACUUGGACACGUACCCCCAAUUCGACUCGGACCCCCAACUCAUACUAAGUUAUUUAUUGGAAUCAGAUUUUAAACUAAUUCAUAAUGUUUCCGCAACCUUAAUCUAGUAUUUAUAUUUAUAUAAGAAAUGGAAAUAUACAAAAAUAUAACUAAAUUGUUAAAGAUCCAAAAUUAUAACCAGAGAUUAAUAAUUUCCAUUUUUUUAAAGCUUUUUCUCCUGCAAAAAUCAAAACUCAUAAAUGUAAACAUCAAUGGCAAUCUUGGCAUAUCAAAACAUGGAUUAUGAGGACGAGCGUGACUAGCCUACAUGACCCUCUAGGUCUGUUCAAUUGCUCCCCCGCAUCUCUCUCGGUCUGUUCAAUUGCUCUUUCUCUCUGGUGAGGUUUCGCGGUCUGCUUCAGUCGCACAACCGGCAUUACUGGCGAUUGACGAACAGAGGCAAACCUCCAAGUCGUAUCUUUGAUCUGGCAUCAUAAAACUCCCAUCUUAGCCUUCGUCAAAUCUGAUUUGGCAUCAUAGAACCCCAUCUUAACCUUCGUCAACUCCGAUCUGCUGCUAAGCCACCUUCUAAAACUUCAGGUGACGAAAAGAGUGCAUUAGAUAUAGUGAGAGAUUAUCAAGAUUUCUACGCCACCAAACAAGAGGAUGAAUAUCAUGGCACUCCAACGAUCUUUGGUGGUCAGAAGUAGAAGGAGAGCCCUGUCAAUUGUCCAUGCUUCAAGGUCGAAGACAUUUCUCAGGAAGAUCGAGCUCUCUGCGUUUUCUCGAUCUACGAAUCCCUUUCCCCGGUAGUAUGUAACUUUUUUCCCUUUAUCUCUAUAUAUGAUUGUGAUUGUGGAUAUUGUUAUUUUCAUUGGUAUUAGGGUUUCUUUCUGUAAUUGUUCUUAGCUGAGUGGAUUUUUAGAGUAACUUAAAUUCACGGUUAAUAAUAUAUUUUUUUGUUUUAUUCUGUGAGGGAUUUGGGAUGUUUUGGGGUCGGCUUAGGAUGGGCAAUCGGAGAUGGAGAGCUCGGUUGGCCUUGGGGGAUGGUAAUUGGGGUCACUCUUUCUUCAGCCGAUUCUCAGAAGCAAUUAGGUUCCUUUUCAGUUUUCCAGGCAGAAGCAGUUGCUUUACUAGUAGGAUUGCGUUGGGCUCAAGAUGUGGGACUUCCCGUGGAGAAAGUUUUUUUUGAUUCACUUUCUUUGGUCUCAGCUUUGGAGGGUCAGACUGUGUAUUUAAAUGAACUGGGGGUUAUCUUUUCUGAUAUUAAAGUCCUAUUGUCUAGUUUUUCUGGGACAUCUCUUUCUCAUUAGCCGCAACUUUAAUGUUGAGGCUCAUAGAUUGGCUAAGCAUGCCCUUAAGAUAAACAAUAAACUUUCUUGGAUGGAAGAAAUCCCCCUCCUUCUGUGUAA